rnacentral:rRNA from 1 species
UACGUAGGGCGCAAGCGUUGUCCGGAAUUAUUGGGCGUAAAGAGCUCGUAGGCGGUCUGUUACGUCCGCUGUGAAAACCCAGGGCUUAACCCUGGGCUUGCAGUGGAUACGGGUAGACUAGAGGCAGGUAGGGGAGAAUGGAAUUCCCGGUGUAGCGGUGAAAUGCGCAGAUAUCGGGAGGAACACCGGUGGCGAAGGCGGUUCUCUGGGCCUGACCUGACGCUGAGGAGCGAAAGCGUGGGAAGCGAACAGG